rnacentral:rRNA from 1 species
GAACGAACGCUGGCGGCGUGCCUAACACAUACAAGUCGAACGGGAUUGAGGGGCUUGCUCCUCAAUUUAGUGGCGCACGGGUGAGUAACGCGUAGAUAAUCUGCCUGACGAUCUGGGAUAACACUUCGAAAGAGGUGCUAAAUACCGGAUAAGCCCACGGGGUCUUUGGAUUCUGCGGGAAAAGGGGGGCCUUUUGGCCUUCUGUCGUCAGAUGAGUCUGCGUACCAUUAGCUAGUUGGUAGGGUAAUGGCCUACCAAGGCUACGAUGGUUAGCUGGUCUGGGAGGAUGAUCAGCCACACUGGAACUGAGACACGGUCCAGACUCCUACGGGAGCAGCAGUGGGAAUUUGCGCAAGU